GAUGAACGCUGGCGGCGUGCCUAAUACAUGCAAGUCGAGCGAACAGACGAGGAGCUUGCUCCUCUGAUGUUUGCGGCGGACGGGUGAGUAACACGUGUAUAACCUACCUAUAAGACUGGGAUAUCUUCGGGAGUCCGGAGCUAAUACCGGAUAACAUGUUGAACCGUAUGGUUCAAUAGUGAAAGACGGUCUUUCUGUCACGUAUAGAUGGAUCCGCGCUGCAUUGUCUGGUUGGUAGGGUAACGGCUUACUAGGGCAACUAUGCGUAGCCGACCUGAGAGAGUGGUCGCCCACACUGGAAGGUGGCCACGGUCCAGGCUCCUACGAUAGGCAGCAGUAGGCAACCGUACGCAGAGGGCGGAAACCUGGCGGAGCGGCGCGACGUGAGAGAAGGAGGUCUUCGGAUCGUAAAGCUCUGUUAUUAGGGAAGAACAGAUGUGUAAGUAGCUGUGCACGUCUUGACGGUACCUAGUAAAGAAGCCACGGCUAACUACGUG
rnacentral:rRNA from 1 species